rnacentral:rRNA from 1 species
CCUACGGGCGGCUGCAGUGGGGAAUAUUGGACAAUGGGGGGAACCCUGAUCCAGCAAUGCCGCGUGUGUGAAGAAGGCCUGAGGGUUGUAAAGCACUUUCAGUGGGGAGGAGGAUUGACAGGUUAAGAGCUGGUUAAUUGGACGUUACCCACAGAAGCAGCACCGGCUAACUCCGUGCCAGCAGACGCGGUAAUACGGAGGGUGCAAGCGUUAAUCGGAAUUACUGGGCGUAAAGGGUGCGUAGGUGGUUAUAUAAUGUAACGGUGAAAUCCCCGGGCUCAACCUGGGCAGGUCAGUUAAGACGGUGUAACUCGAGUAUGGGAGAGGGUAGUGGAAUUUCCGGUGUAGCGGUGAAAUGCGUAGAGAUCGGAAGGAACACCAGUGGCGAAGGCGGCUACCUGGCCCAAUACUGACACUGAGGCACGAAAGCGUGGGGAGCAAACAGGAUUAGAUACCCCUGUAGUC